UUCCCUCUCUCUCUCACUUGACCAUGGACGCGCUCUCUCUCUCCUCCCCUCCCCUAUCCUUAAACCCUCUCUCCGCCAACCUGCUUUCCCUCAAGUGCCCUACCCCUCUCUGCAAACCUCCCACUUUCUCUCUCCGACCUUCCACAUCCCCACAAUCUUUCAAAUGCUCACCACUUGGUUCCCACUACUUACGCAAAACCCCCAAAACCCAAGUCGUCCACAACACUCUUAACAUGGCGGCCCCGCAGGCGCCGCCACCGGCCAGGAGCGGCGUGGGCGACGGCGACGUCAUGGGGAUGCUGUUCAGGGAGAGGAUCGUCUUCUUGGGGCACGAAAUCGACGAUUUCGUGGCCGACUUGGUUAUCAGUCAGUUGCUCCUGCUGGACGCUCAGGACCCGACUAAGGAUAUCAAGCUCUUCAUCAAUUCGCCCGGUGGGUCCCACAGUGCGGCAAUGGCUCUCUACGAUGUCAUAAGGGUUGUAAGGGCUGAUGUUUCUACAGUUGCAAUGGGCAUUGCGGCAUCAUCAGCUUCAAUAAUCCUUGGUGCUGGCACUAAAGGCAAGCGCCUCGCGAUGCCCAAUGCACGGAUAAUGAUGCGUCAACCUUUGGGAGGUGAAAGUGGACCGGUUACCGAAUUGGAAAUUGAAACCAAGGAGCUCAAGCAAUACAAGGCUAAUGUCAUAAAAAUCAUAUCGGAUAUCACUGGGCACACAUUGGAACAGGUUGAGAAAGACAUUGAUGAAGAUCGCUACAUGUCUCCUAUUGAAGCUGUUGAAUAUGGAAUAAUUGAUGAUGUUAUUGAUAGAGAUAGCAUUGUACCACUUAUGCCUAUUCCAGAAUUUCGGAGAGAUAAAAGGUUCCCUAAUAAAUUUUCCAAUAUCGUGGACACCCUAGAGCCAAAUGUCCCUGAUGACGAGAUAUAUUAGCUGGAGGCCCCACUAAUACAGGUGGGUGUUUGGCUGCUUGUGAUGUUGCCUCCUCAUAUGACCUAGAAGUCGAAGACCUCAACAAACUCUCAAGUCAAGACUUGACUAUCAGCAGGUGGUUCGGCUUUUCACUUUGAUGUCCCAGCAAAUGGACUUCUGCUACAAAUGGGCUGGACGGGAGCAAAUACUUAGCAGCGUCGUGGUUUAGGAGUUAUUUAGACUUCGUAAUUCUAUUGUUUUCCCAUUUCGUGAAAUUAUUUUCGGAAAAGACUUUGAUUUUUCUCUCUUUAGAUUUCAUAAUUCUAUGAUUUUCCCAUUUUGUGAAA